GGGGGUGCUAGCUUGCUAGAACCUACACACAGGUGCUGCACGGCUGUCGUCAGCCCGUGUCGUGAGAUGUUGGGUUAAGUCCCGCAACGAGCGCAACCCUCGUCCUUAGUUGCUAACAGUUCGGCUGAGCACUCUAAGGAGACUGCCUUCGCAAGGAGGAGGAAGGUGAGGACGACGUCAAGUCAUCAUGGCCCUUACGGCCAGGGCUACACACGUGCUACAAUGGGGCGUACAAAGAGCUGCAAUACCGCGAGGUGGAGCCAAUCUCUUAAAGCGUCUCUCAGUUCGGAUUGUUCUCUGCAACUCGAGAACAUGAAGCUGGAAUCACUAGUAAUCGUAGAUCAGCUGUGCUACGGUGAAUACGUUCCCGGGUCUUGUACUCACCGCCCGUCACACCAUGGGAGUUGAUUUCACCCGAAAUCGGGAUGCCAAACUGGCUACCGCUUACGGUGGAAUUAGCGACUGGGGUGAAGUCGUAACAAGGUAACCGUAGGAGAACC
rnacentral:rRNA from 1 species